UCCCUAGUGGUCCAGUGGUUAGGACUCUGCACUCCCAAUGCAGAGGGCCUGGGUUCAAUCUCCAGUCAGGGAA